rnacentral:lncRNA from 1 species
CCUUGGGGUUUUCCUUCCCAUUGGAGUGAUCCAAGAAUCGAUCCCAAUGACAAUAGUCGAGUAGAGAUCGACGAUCAGGAAGACUUCUAUCGAUUGAAAGACAUAGUGGUUCCAUCGCAGAAAAGAAGCUUGUGACCGAACAAGCUCUUUAUGACACCGAUCUUAGUUCGAUCACACAUCUAGGUAUAGUACAGUUGAUCAUUUCUCACUUUAUGCUUCUUUUGUUGAGUUGUAUUGACUU